UACGGGGGGGGCAAGCGUUGUUCGGAAUUACUGGGCGUAAAGGGUUCGUAGGUGGCCAACUAAGUCAGACGUGAAAUCCCUCAGCUUAACUGAGGAACUGCGUCUGAUACUGGUUGGCUUGAGUGCAGGAGAGGAACGCGGAAUUCCAGGUGUAGCGGUGAAAUGCGUAGAUAUCUGGAGGAACACCGGUGGCGAAGGCGGCGUUCUGGACUGUAACUGACACUGAGGAACGAAAGCCAGGGGAGCAAACGGG
rnacentral:misc_RNA from 1 species